AACGCUGGCGGCGUGGUUAAGACAUGCAAGUCGAACGGAGCAUUCUUUUAGCAAUAAGAGGGUGCUUAGUGGCGAACGGGUGCGUAACACGUGGAUACAUUGGAGAAGCGGGGAAUAGCCCAGGGAAACUUGGACUUAAUGGCCGCAUGUGGCCGCAAGGCUAAAGACGGGGACUCACAAGGCCUGUCACUUCUCUGUUGGUCCGCGGCCUAUCAGCUAGUUGGCGGGGUAACGGCCCACCAAGGCAACGACGGGUAGCUGGUCUGAGAGGACGACCAGCCACACUGGAACUGGGACACGGUCCAGACACCUACGGGUGGCAGGCAGUCGAGAAUCUUUCACAAUGGGGCAACCCUGAUGGAGCGACGCCGCGUGGAGGAUAAGGU
rnacentral:rRNA from 1 species